rnacentral:rRNA from 1 species
GAUGAACGCUAGCGGGAGGCUUAACACAUGCAAGUCGAGGGGCAUCCCGAGCAAUCGGGAGAGACCGGCAGACGGGUGCGUAACGCGUAUGCAACCUGCCUUAUGCAGGGGGAUAGCCCAUGGAAACGUGGAUUAAUACCCCAUAUUCUAUAGUUCCUGCCUGGGGGUUAUAGGAAAACUGAGGUGGCAUAAGAUGGGCAUGCGUCUGAUUAGCUAGAUGGCAGGGUAACGGCCUACCAUGGCGACGAUCAGUAGGGGUCCUGAGAGGGUUACCCCCCACACUGGCACUGAGACACGGGCCAGACACCUACGGGUGGCUG